GUGAACUUUUUUUGUGUGAUGUAGUUGGAGGUUCUGAUGAGGAGGGGAUGCAAGCCAGACCAGUUUAUGUUGCCGCUAUUGAUUUGGCAUCCUCUGAAGAGUUUUUAGAACUUACAAAAAGUGGUUUGUUAGCGGCGUUGGAAGGUUGGUAGUUUGAAAAUGUUGUUAUAAAGAGUUAAUUGCAUAGAUGCUUUAUAUGUGUGCUGAAUGACGAAAUGUCAAAAUGUGUUCCUGUACCCAAAUACUGAUGAUUCAACACUUCCUCAGGACAUGUAUCGUAUCUUAAGCCACCCAUAUGUCUUUAAUUGUCUCGUGCGUUUGAGGACAUCCUCUGAAUUCAAACCUGGAAAUUCUUAUGGUCAUUUCUUCCCUGAACCACAGUAUGAAAAUGUCCAGCAUGUUAUUUGAUGAAGCCAGGAGGAAGUUGAAAGCAACAGAACUUCAAGCCAAAAUGACGAAGUUGUGGCUUUGGACAAACUAUGUACCUCAAGCUACCAAUCCAAUGGCAAUUUCAGACAAGCUACCAAUUCAACGGCAAGCUUUCCAUCAGGGUAAGCACAUUGCUAUCGUUGCCAAGAAACUCAAGGGAAGCCCGUGAUGUGCAUCUAACUCACUGAAACAAUGUCAAGCUAGAUACAAUUAGGUUACCUUUUACUAACUUGUGGUUGUAUGAAACACAUUGUUUUGAUAUAUAUGAAAUUCGCUCUUUUGCUA